rnacentral:rRNA from 1 species
AGGACGUGCUAAUCUGCGAAAAGCUUGGAUGAGUUGAUAAGAAGCGUUUAAUCCAAGAUAUCCGAAUGGGGAAACCCAGUAGAUGAAGAAUCUACUAUCACUUGUUGAAUACAUAGGCAAGUGAAGCAAACCGGGAGAACUGAAACAUCUAAGUACCCCGAGGAAAAGAAAUCAACCGAGAUUUUGUAAGUAGCGGCGAGCG